rnacentral:RNase_P_RNA from 1 species
GAGUCAAUCUAGGUACUACGCUCUUUUAGAGUGAGGAAAGUCCUGGCACGAAAUCAAAGCUAUCAUCUCACGGAUGUUGGAACACUGUCUGAGACAGGCAAACGAAAGUGCCACAGAGAUUAAACUAUCCCUUUGGGGAGAAAGGUGAAACAGAGUGGUAGUCUCUUGAGGAGAGAUUUACACUUACUCAAUCUGAUUGCUGAUCAGAUGAGGGGUAAACCGUAGCUCGUGCAAGCUUGCCAGUCUCGUGCUGGAAGUGCAAAUGGUUGCUCUAUGCAACUCUAGAUAAAUAGUACCUUGUACAGAACCAGGCUUAUUGGAUUGACACUCUU